rnacentral:lncRNA from 1 species
AAAAAAGAAAUAAAAUAGUUUCGCUUUGGCGUCCCCACCGCGAUUCCAUUCGGACCUUAUCGCCACGCUUUUCGUAAUUCCUCACCUUUCGAUCGCAAUCUCUUUCUUCACCCACUCACCCACACACAUGCACGCAUUUAUUAUUUUCAGUAAAAAAUUGAAUGAGAAUUUGAUCAUUAUAAAUUUUUUCCCACUCUGUAACUCAUCACAAAAUGGGCACUGGCGCAUCGAGAAAUCCCGAUAGCAGCUCCCAUGGCAGCGAAGAGAGAGACCAAGCCGGCGGUCAACUCUAUGUUUCUCUCAGAAUGGAAAAUUAUAAGCUCAAUGGUGAUAUCAUACCCCAUGUUUACGGCUCGGUACCACUCGUCGGCUCCUGGGACCCCUCUAAAGCCGUAAGUUUGUUUCAUAUUUCCCAAUUUUUUUUUCUAGUUUUAGUACUUCAAUUUAUUGGAAAAGUUAGAGUACAGUUGAUUUUUUCAGUUUCAUAUAAGAUUGUGCAUUUUUGCUAAUAGAUGUUUCUGGGGUUAAAAUUAAGAACACUUUGCUGGCCUAAUUUAUUUUAUUACAAGUCAAUCACUCAAAUUUUCUUUGUGUUUCUUACUUUGUCUUUUCAAGGUAAAAUUAACAGAAUUGCUGACUUAUAUACGAUAUUCUAAAAGAAUUGUUCUAUGUAAAUGCAUUAGUCUUUCGAAAGAAUUAAGCAUUUCUGCCAAUUUGGAUGAGGAAACUUAUACAUCAUUGGGAUUUAUAAGUUACAUAAGUCAGCAGUUCCACCAGUAGACGGAGUGCCUGACCUGAAACAAAAAUGAAAGAACAAGAAUGAAAGUUAAUUGAUUAAUUCGAAACAAAAAUGAAUUCAUUGACUAUUGUGUUUCAACCAAUUUUUCACACAUCCUAUGCUGCUGAAUCUUGUGUUUUUGUAGUUAUUUUUGGUUGGAAUUUUGGGAGAUUUUCGUUCUUUUAGUUGCUAAUAUAUUUUCAUAAACUAUCAGCUUUCGUUGGAACGUGAAUACACAUCUAUGUGGAUAUUAAGUUUUGUGGUCCCUCCUAACCAUGGUAAUUAUGCCCACUGUGUAAGCCAAGAAUUUUUCUCCAUUUUAGUAUUCUUGUAAAAUUGAAGAUUUAAUUAUCUCUUGUUUUUUUACAGACACUUUGGAUUUUAAGUUUCUGUUGAAGCCCAAAUAUUGUAGCUCUCCAUGUAUAGUUGAGGAGGGUCCGAACAGGCAAUUGACAGCGGGUACAUUACAUGGGGAUGGGAGGUCGGCUAUGUUUAAAUUGAGUGGUGAUGAGGUUUUUGAGUACAGAGUAUUUAUUAACGUGGAUAGAGUUUCGCCAUUUGAUCUUGCGGCAAGUUGGAGAGCAUAUCAAGAGAAUCUUCAGCCUUCAACUGUUCGAGGAAUCCCAGAUAUUAGUAUAAAUUCAGCUGCUGAAGCUGGUCCUGAGGUGGGUAUUAAGCUUAUUAUGUACAUGAGAAUUAUUCUCUAAUUGUCGGGUUAUGUUUCUUUAGUAUCGGACAUUUGAAUCCUUUUGACUCAAUAGGAUAUUGCAUGCAUUUGGCCUCUGUAUAUUGUUUGUGGGAUUAAAGGGCCCCGAAGACAUGACUUUCCUGAGAGGAUUUGCAUUUCCCCCCGCUCCAAUUUAUUAUGAUAUAUUUGGACACUUAUGGAAAAAGUAAUGCAUAUUGGUGCAUUAAGCCUUUAUAAAGAAGGGGUGUGGAUGUCUUCUUCUAAGUUAUAUGUUUUUGAAAAAUCAAUCUCACUUUGUGGCUAAAUUUCUACAUACAAGUUCUCUUGUCUUUGGCAAAAAAGCCUUGAAAUAUAUCGAAUGAUAAUUAUUGUCGAAGGAGACAAAUAGUAUAACCUUUAGAGAGCAAGAUACAACUUGGUGCUGACGAAUGAAAAUCAUACAUUUUUCUUGGAUUAAAGACUGCGAUCUUAAUGGCUGUGUAACACUUGUAGAGUUUCUUGAUGAUAUUUUAGAGUUUCUUGGGUCCCUCAAUUCAAUCUAACUUUUACUUUUCAAGAGUUCAAGGUGAAAAAGGAUGGUUUUGGUGCUAUGACUUAGGGAAUGUGCACCAUCUGACCAGACUUUUAUAAUUGUCAAGGAGUAAUUGUACUCAAGUUUGGGUGGGACUUGGGGGUGACUAACACGGUUCACUAAUUUAUUUUCCUGAAUUUUUCUGAUUCGUGAGCAUCCCAAAUGCUAACUAUUAAAAUUCUUCCUUUAUGUAUAGCUUCUUAUGAUUUCUUCUGUACGAUAUCUAUCAAUAUUGAUGGUUUGAUAUAUCAGUUGUAUUUUGACAAUUUCCAAUACAGAAUGGAUCUUCAGCAAGUUUGGAGCUUGAUCUUGAGCACUAUGUUGUCCCUGCUCCAGCUAUGGCUGCAAACUCAGCUCUGGUGUAUGCAGCUAACAUGACAGAAACACCUACGUCACUGAGUCGUUUUGGGGUAUUUUCCUGAACUGAUUGCUCUAGUGGUGGGUUACUACAUUAGAUAAUGGUGUUUCUAGCUGCAACAUCAAUGGUGUCGUUCUUGCCCCAAUCUCUUAUUUCUUAUUCAGACUAUAUUCCACGCUUUGAGAAUUGUCUUGUGUUCAAAAUAAUUGAGUUCGCAAAGCUAGUGGUAAAAUACUGAUAUUGAGGGAGAAUUAAAUUCACUAUAUAAAUUAGUUUUCUACUGGAGAUGGAGAUAAUUAUCUGAACCUAAAUGUUUUUAUUCCUGUUCCCCAUCAAGAGGAAGGGUGGACUUACCGAUUGAUGAUUAGCAAUUUUUUUACCUGAAAUUGCUGUUUUGUUAAAUUGAGAUUUUUCCCUACGGACCUGGACCUACUAAAUUAAGUCAAAUGAGUAUUCCUCUGUCAAAGCACUGGUACGUAAUCACGUUGAUAUCUGUUGGUUAAUCUGAAAUGGAAGGAAGCACGUCCGUUCAUCAAUAAUACUUACAGCUUGUUCGGGAGAGAUUAAAAAAUCUAAUUUUAAUCUAAGUCUAAGUCAAAGUCAAACAAUCAAUAUUAACUACAUCUUUCAUCGGUCCCACAACUUUUCAACCAUAUAUUUCAAAAACUUCUAUCACAAUUAACUAAAAAUUCUAAUUUUAAUCUCUACCAAACACCCUCUGAUAUGAUCCGGGUUAGGCCAAAGUCGGCCGCAUAGUAUGCUUCGGGACCAAAGUUGCAAUUUUUCGCAAGAAUCAUUUUUUGACUCAAUUUCUUAUUUUUGUCAAGUUUAUUAUUUUGGGACUCUUAAAUCCUAUUUUGACUCAAUUUCUUAUUUUUGGCAAGUUUAUUAUUUUAGGACUCUUAAAUUAGGUUUUUUUUUUUUUUUUUUUUUUCCAUAUUUCUAGACUUUAGCAUAAAUAGAAAAUUUAUUUCAUUAUUGUAUUCGAAGACUUUGAGAAUUAAUUCUAGAGGCUUUUCGCUUCCAAUAUUUGUUCUUGUGUGGAACAACCGAACUGAUCAAGAUUUCGCGAUCUUUUGGCAUUCAAAACUUGGGUAAGAUUCAUUUCAUUGUGUAAUCAAAAGGUCCUUCUUGUCUUUGUUACUUUGGGGUUGUUUGAUUCAUUAAUUGGUUGGAUUAAAUCCAAAUCCGGAUUAAAUUUAUGAGUUUUGUGAUCAAAAGAUCAAUAGUUUAAUAUACUAUUGGUUGUUUGGUCUGCAAAUUUGUGAAUUGAGUCCUAAACUUUGAUUUUUGGCUUUCUUAGGGUUUGUGUAAUUUUUCGUGGGUUUAAAAGCGGUCUAGCCAUCCUGGUUCACAUCACCCUCCUAAUAAAAUUAUUCAUGCAACGUGCUGAUUAACAGGGCUGAUGUUAUGAGUGGACUUUGCUACGGUCUUUUAAUUGCACUUCUAUGAACCAGUUCUCUCAGGAAUUAGCUUGCAACCUUUUGCGUGUUACUUCCAUACUUUGCAGCCACAUGUAGUACACUUCUAUAUGUCUAAAAUGUGUAAUUGUAUUAGGGGAUGGAAGUCAUAGUCCCAGACCCAACUGCACCACCUUCAGGAUCUGGCAUGAUUGAGUCGAAGUCAGUGGGAACUUUUUCAUCAAUGCAGAAACAAGAAGGUCACAGAGGAAUCUUUGUGGAUAGGGGAGUAGGAUCUCCUAGGCUAGUAAAAUCUGCAAGUGCUGCGUCAUUCACGGCUGACCUCAAACUUUAUUCAGAAGCCAAGGUAUGUAGGAACUGAAAGAAGACUGAGUGUAAAAUAUAAGAUUUUUGGCCCUAGAAAUGCAUACUUCUAAUUCAUUACCCACUGUAAAUUGUUAGAACUCUAUGCCCGCCGCUGCAGGAGCUGUUGCAGCUGCAGCUGUAGCAGAUCAGAUGCUUGGGCCAAAGGAGGAUAGACAUCUAGCAAUUGUGCUGGUACACUCUUAGUUUCUUUUUUUCUGACUUUUGAUCAUACAUUUCAUAAUCUGUUUCUUUCAUUCAAGCUUUGAAAUACUGUAUACUACAUAUUCACUAAAAUUCUUGCAGGAAGAUACUUUUGUCAUCCAUACUGGGCUUUGAAUUUUCAUUGGUUGUAAAUUUAUACCUCAGAAGUAUGUUAUUCUAAUCUCCACAGGUUGGAUUGCCUGCUCGUGGUAAAACUUUUACUGCAGCUAAACUUACUAGAUAUCUACGUUGGUUAGGGCAUGAGACCAAACACUUCAAUGUUGGGAAGGUGAAUACCUUUUUUAACUUUUAUUGCUCAUUAAUUUUAUAGACUUAUGGAAACAGGAGAAGCUGAAUAAUUGGUAUAUUUUUGUUCACAGUAUCGAAGACUAAAGCAUGGAAUUAAUCAGGUUUGUCAAUUGGUCAGAUAUCACCU